GUUGCAACAGAAAUUUAAUUAGGCUUUCUUUUAACAUAUACUCUAUCAUUUUUUUCCCCCAACUUAAUUUUAAUAACUCUAGAUUCUACACCUUAUUUUCGCAAACAAAUAUUAGUUUAUGACACAGGAUGGCGCAUUAUGUACUGAUUGUUCAUUUUGUGCUGCUCUGGUUCACAGAUCGUUCAUUAAGCAGCAAAAUCAUUCAGACUACUGAUGUGAUUGAGAAUCCAGGAAAUAAUGUGAACCUCAGUUGCACUCAUACUUACAAGGACUUUUUUUACCUUUUCUGGUACCAACAAACAAGACAAGACACAUCACUGAAGCUUACUGGAUAUCUCUACACAACAACCUUCAAUAAGGAGACGGACUAUGAGAAGCGCUUUCAUAUUUACGGAGAUGCAAAAAGUGAAGGGAUCCUGCAGAUCUCCAACCUUAAUUCACAUGAUAGUGCAGUGUAUUUCUGUGCUGUUAGAGAAAGCACAGUGUCACGGUUAUCUGCUAUGUACUUCAAAAACUCCCUGUAUUAUAGUUAUGUAUGCUAUCUGCACAUCUCCAGCUGCUUCUGCUACAGAACGAAAAAGCAACAACUGAUCUUACUCUACACAUAGUGUUCCAUGAAUGUAUUACACUAUGUUUAAUAUUACAUUUAAUUUGACAUUUUCUGAUAUAAUGGGAGUUUGCAUGUUAUCCCCGUGCUGCGGGGGUUUCCUCUGGGUACUCCGGUUUCCUCCCCCAGUCCAAAGACAUGCAUGGUAGGCUGAUUGGCAUGUCCAAACUGUCCGUAGUGUAUGAAUGGGUGUGUGAAUGUGUAUGUGAGUGUGCCCUGUGAUGGAUUGGCACCCUGCCCAGGGUGUACCCCGCCUUGUGCCCGAUGCUCCCUGGGAUAGGCUCCAGGUUUCCCCGUGACCCUAAAGAAGGAUAAGCGGUAUAGAAAUGGAUGGAUGGAUUUUCUGAUAUAAUGUGUGUGAACUAGAGAUGCUUCAUGUGACAAAUGUAUCAUAUUGCAAUGCAUAAAGACAUAUCACAUAAUUUCAUAAUUUAUAUCACAGCUGCAUCGCGUGAAAACAGCUUCUCAUUGCGCAGACUUGCUUCUUGCAUUUCUGGCACAUUCCUAUGUUCUAGCUGUAUGUUUGUAUCUUGCUUAUUAUAAUAAUGUUUUCAUAAUAAGCUAGAGAUAAUGAUAUGAUAGUAUCUCUUGCCUUCCUAGUCUAGGCUGGUGGCUUAGUGAUUCCACAAUUGUGGUAGCAUUUGUGUUAUGUUUGCAAAUAUGUAUGUAAAAGAAAGGCAAAACACAUUUUAAACAAAUUUUAAUUUUCUUUCACAACA